rnacentral:rRNA from 1 species
GUCGUAGGGCACUCUAAUGAGACUGCCGGUGACAAACCGGAGGAAGGUGGGGAUGACGUCAAGUCCUCAUGGCCCUUAUGGGUAGGGCUUCACACGUCAUACAAUGGUCGGUACAGAGGGUUGCCAAGCCGCGAGGUGGAGCCAAUCCCUUAAAGCCGAUCGUAGUCCGGAUCGUAGUCUGCAACUCGACUACGUGAAGUCGGAAUCGCUAGUAAUCGCAGAUCAGCAUGCUGCGGUGAAUACGUUCCCGGGUCUU